CCUACGGGAGACAGCAGUGAGGAAUAUUGGUCAAUGGACGAGAGUCUGAACCAGUCAAGCAGCGUGAAGGAUGACUGCCCUAUGGGUUGUAAACUUCUUUUAUAUGGGAAUAAAAUGUUCCACGUGUGGGAUUUUGUAUGUACCAUAUGAAUAAGGAUCGGCUAACUACGUGCCAGCAGCCGCGGUAAUACGGAGGAUCCGAGCGUUAUCCGGAUUUAUUGGGUUUAAUGGGAGCGUAGGUGGAUAGUUAAGUCAGUUGUGAAAGUUUGCGGCUCAACCGUAAAAUUGCAGUUGAAACUGGCAGUCUGGAGUACAGUAGAGGUGGGCGGAAUUCGUGGUGUAGCGGUGAAAUGCGUAGAUAUCACGAAGAACUCCGAUUGCGAAGGCAGCUCACUGGACUGCAACUGACACUGAGGCUCGAAAGUGUGGGUAUCAAACAGGAUUAGAUACCCCGGUAGUC
rnacentral:rRNA from 1 species